CCUUUCUAGGGAUGACUCCCAGUGCCUUCUAUCCAAACGUCUCUGAGUCUUUCGAAUUAUUAGUCCACAAGGAUAGAGUAACUGUAGCAACAGAGUUUAUUGCAGCCACAAAGAUUGGCUGGAAAUAAGAAAAAGGAAUGAACUGCAUCCAACAGCUCCCUAAUCCUGCGAGCGUGUGUAUGAACCGGAGAGUUAGUUACUUCCUCCCAGUCUGCC